UAUAUAUAUAUAUAUAUAUACAUAUACAUAUAUAUUCAAUAUGUUAAAUAAGGUAAAAAUAUUACUCAUAUCUAUUAUUACUUAUCAGGGGAUUUAUUUUGAGAUUUUUUCAUUCUCACUCUCUCUGUUACUAAAUCACCUGAUGCAUUUUGUAUCUAAUCAUUGAUUCAAUCAUCUUUUUUCAUUCAUUAUCAUCAAAUAAUCUUUUUAACAAACAAACAAAAAUUAUUUGAUAAUAAUAAAUAUAAAUCAAUGCAAAUACAAUUAUUACUUUUAAUUGACCCUCAACCAGACGUACCAUCGGGAAUCAACCCAAUGGUGCAAUGUGCAUUCGAAAUCUUUGUGCUCAAUGCGUCUGCAAUUCGCACUAUUUAUCGCAGCUAGCUGCGUUCUUCAUCGAUCCAUGAGCCAAGUGAUCCACCGCUAAGAGUUAAAAAAAAAUUUUUAUUAUUAUUACUAUAAUAUAUAUAUAAUUUUUUUGUAUGUCUUUUUUUUUUUUUUUUUGUUGGUAGCAUAUCUAGCAUAAAUGCUUAUUAAGUCUACUUAAUUAAAUGGUAAAAUUAAUUAAGCUAUCGCUUUAUCUUCAUUGUUAUCGACGGUUAGGCGAUAACUUGGAUAAAGUAUAGACACCAACGAAUAUCACCGUUUAUUCAUAUUAUUAUUAUUAUUAUUAUUUAUGCUACUACCAUAUUAAAAUUAUUAACAUCAAUCUAUUAAUAACACAUACAACAAUAUGUUGUUAAUAUAGUAUCAUAAUAUAUAUAUAUGGUAGCUAUAAUAAUAAUAAAUUC